rnacentral:rRNA from 1 species
UACGUAGGGUGCAAGCGUUAAUCGGAAUUACUGGGCGUAAAGCGUGCGCAGGCGGUUUUGUAAGUCUGUCGUGAAAGCCCCGGGCUCAACCCGGGAAGUGCACUUGAAACUGGGAGGCUAGAGUAUCGGAGAGGUUGGUGGGAAUUCUCGGUGUAGAGGUGAAAUUCGUAGAUAGUUGGGAAGAACACCGGUGGCGAAGGCGGCCAUCGUGGAC